GGUAUUAUAGCCUAACGGUAAGGCACUUCACUGUUAAUGAAUGUAUAGGUGUUCGAUUCACCUUAAUACCU
rnacentral:tRNA from 1 species